rnacentral:tRNA from 1 species
UAGAUUGAAGCCAGUUGAUUAGGGUAUUUAGCUGUUAACUAAAAUUUCGUGGGAUGAUAGCCCAUCAAUCUAG